rnacentral:misc_RNA from 1 species
GCCUGAAUUUCCUCAACUAGUCAACCGUAUUCACCAAGCCAAUUCCUCAAUAAAUCAAAACACUAAAUUCAAAUUAUUGAUUACUUUUGAAUGUUAGUAAUAAGUUUUAGUUUAGUGAUGAUAGAGUCAUCUCUAAAGUUGUAACAUCUCAAAUGUGAUCUAUAAUCGAAACUAAAUUAACAAAAAAAUGACUAAAUGCUGAACAUAAGAUGUCCCUUGCUUAGAAUGAAAUAAAUUGAAUAAAAUCAAACAAUUUGAAUUUGACGAGUUUGGAAAUUUUUAAGUUUAAAAGAAUUGAAUUGUUUCAUUUCAAAUAUGAGAAUUAGCCAAAAACAAAUCAAUUGAAUUGAAUACUUGCAAAAUUCUACUUUCCAAAUAAGGG